rnacentral:lncRNA from 1 species
UUCAGAAUCGUGAUAUUGAUUUCUUUUUUGUCAAAUACCUUCCCGAGAGCCAUGAGAUGAUUUACAAUAUGAGUGAAUCAUUUAUGCACAUCAUAAAUGGUUUCUCCAACUUUCAUUUUGAACAAUUCAUACUCUUGUAUCAAGGAGUUCUUUCUUGCUCUCUAUACUUCAUCUGUGCCUUCAUGAGUUACCUCUAAGACAUCCCACAUUUCCUUU